AUUCCAAUAUAACAUUCUUCAUGUCUGUGGGUUUUACCUUACCUUGCUCUACAUUGUCAAAAAAAUUAUGACAUUCUUCGUAGAGCUCAGGAUUCUCAUUGUUCUUCAAUUUCUCAAUUUUUCUUUUACUUUUUGGAAAUCCAAAUACACGAUGCACAUCAUCUUCUGUAACACGCAACAUGCGUCCAUUCAACAGCUUCAACUCAACACCUCUUGUGUCGAAAUUGUCACAUACCCAAUAUGCCAACCUACUUGGAAGUUCACUGAUUUGUAGCUUCAGA
rnacentral:lncRNA from 1 species